rnacentral:rRNA from 1 species
UACGUAGGGUGCAAGCGUUAUCCGGAAUUAUUGGGCGUAAAGAGCUCGUAGGCGGUUUGUCGCGUCUGCUGUGAAAACCCGAGGCUCAACCUCGGGCCUGCAGUGGGUACGGGCAGACUAGAGUGCGGUAGGGGAGAUUGGAAUUCCUGGUGUAGCGGUGGAAUGCGCAGAUAUCAGGAGGAACACCGAUGGCGAAGGCAGAUCUCUGGGCCAUAACUGACGCUGAGAAGCGAAAGCAUGGGGAGCGAACAGG